UGAAAACCUGGGAAAUAGAGAUGGAGGCAACAAGAAGUCAUAACUGUCCAUCCAGAGCAUGGCUCAAUGCGAGCAGAUACACUGCUGCUAAAUGUCCUGCAGGCUCACACAGCUGGAAUGGGCCUCCGGUGCUGAUUUUCUGUGCUGGCAAACUAUGUUUUGCAGAGAAAGUAAGUCAGGUUCACAACACUUCUGUGUUUUUUGUCAUAAUGAGCGAGCUAUAAUGCUAAAUUAAAGCCGAGUGCCAUAAAACGGAGACAGACACAUUUUCACCUUGGAAAGCUGUCAGUGCAGGCCAAAGAGCAGCGUAAUGAUACAGACAAUACAAACCAUGGGGAGCUGCAGACCUACAGCAGCACCAGCCAGCACAGCCCUGCUCUGAAACGUGGGCUUACUUGAGUAUUCGUCGUCAGGCUGUGACUAAUCAGAAAAUCCACCACCAAACCGCAUUACAAAACACCAACCCAAACCAAAACCAACCAAACGCUAAUAAAUAAUGGUUAUCAGAUGGUCACUAAUGAAGGUGAAUGACUUCAAACUCUCCCGGGGACACCUUCAGAAGCCAUCCUACCUGGAGGAAGAGAACCUGGGAGAAUGACAGACUUCAUCAAAACCUGAGGCUGGCAGCUUGCUAAGAAUGUGAGCUAAUUAUAAAAAGCCCUUUUUUUCUAAGCCCUGACGUUACAGAGUUGGGCUCUGGCAGCAGCCCCAUUGGUUCCGCUGCUCUGUCACGUUCCUCCCAUCUCCAGAGGUAGCCUUUAUCCUGCACACUGCAGCAAACAAUAACAUCCAAGUACAGAGACCUAAAAAUAACUGAGGUUUUAGUGCACAGUGUCUGCAAAACGCAAAGGGCGCUGUGAAAUAAACAGCUCAACAUCCCCCUGUUAACACAGCCCCUUUUUGUUGCAGCUUGUCAAUCACUCUUCCAGCUCACCUGUCAGCUUUGUUCCGACUGAUCAAACCCAACGUGCUCUUAAGGAGAGCAGAACUGCUUUUCUCAGACUUUCUGCUGUAAAAGAAUUCCAGUAAAUGCUGCCCAGAAACCCAUUUGACCACCCCAGACGAGCAGAGAACAUUUCUUAAUGGGGAAGAGAACAUUUUAUUAGAAGAAUCUGACACUGACUUUUCAGAGUGAAAUUCCAAGGGCUGACAAAGCUGUUUGCAGAAAGGAGGG
ensembl:lncRNA